rnacentral:rRNA from 1 species
GAUGAACGCUGGCGGCGUGCCUAAUACAUGCAAGUCGAGCGAACAGACGAGGGGCUUGCUCCUCUGACGUUAGCGGCGGACGGGUGGGUAACACGUGGAUAACCUACCUAUAAGACUGGGAUAACUUCGGGAAACCGGAGCUAAUACCGGAUAAUAUAUUGAACCGCAUGGUUCAAUAGUGAAAGACGGUUUUGCUGUCACUUAUAGAUGGAUCCGCGCCGCAUUAGCUAGUUGGUAAGGUAACGGCUUACCAAGGCAACGAUGCGUAGCCGACCUGAGAGGGUGAUCGGCCACACUGGAACUGAGACACGGUCCAGACUCCUACGGGAGGCAGCAGUAGGGAAUCUUCCGCAAUGGGCGAAAGCCUGACGGAGCAACGCCGCGUGAGUGAUGAAGGUCUUCGGAUCGUAAAACUCUGUUAUUAGGGAAGAACAAAUGUGUAAGUAACUAUGCACGUCUUGACGGUACCUAAUCAGAAAGCCACGGCUAACUACGUG